UGGGGAAUAUUGCACAAUGGGCGCAAGCCUGAUGCAGCCAUGCCGCGUGUGUGAAGAAGGCCUUCGGGUUGUAAAGCACUUUCAGCGGGGAGGAAGGCGAUAAGGUUAAUAACCUUGUCGAUUGACGUUACCCGCAGAAGAAGCACCGGCUAACUCCGUGCCAGCAGCCGCGGUAAUACGGAGGGUGCAAGCGUUAAUCGGAAUUACUGGGCGUAAAGCGCACGCAGGCGGUCUGUCAAGUCGGAUGUGAAAUCCCCGGGCUCAACCUGGGAACUGCAUUCGAAACUGGCAGGCUAGAGUCUUGUAGAGGGGGGUAGAAUUCCAGGUGAAGCGGUGAAAUGCGUAGAGAUCUGGAGGAAUACCGGUGGCGAAGGCGGCCCCCUGGACAAAGACUGACGCUCAGGUGCGAAAGCGUGGGGAGCAAACAGG
rnacentral:rRNA from 1 species